rnacentral:rRNA from 1 species
GCACAAAUUCUAGCCUUUAUGCCUCCUAUGUUAACCCAAAAUUAACUGAACCUUUAUAAAACAUUUUACCUAUUGAGUAGAGGAGAUCGAAAAAUAAAUAAGCGCUUCAGAUACAGUACCGCAAGGGAAAGAUGAAAUAUAAAUGAAAUAAAAUUUAAGCACUAAAAAGUAGAGAUAUACACUCGUACCUUUUGCAUCAUGGUCUAGCAAGUCCAACCAAGCAAAACGAACUUAAAGUUUGACCCCCCGAAACUGAAUGAGCUACUUCGAAACAGCUGUAAGAGCCAACCCGUCUCUGUAGCAAAAGAGUGGGAUGAUUUCCAAGUAGCGGUGAUAAGCCUACCGAACUCAGAGAUAGCUGGUUGCUUAAGAAAAGAAUCUUAGUUCUGCCUUAAGUCUCCCCAAUAAACAAAAACUUAUUCUAGACUUAAGAGUUACUCAAAUAAGGCACAGCUUAUUUGAAACAGGAUACAACCUUAGAUACCGGGUAAUUUUUUAUCGUUUGUAACAAGUGGGCCUAAAAGCAGCCACCUUUUAAAAAGCGUUAAAGCUUUGUACAUAUGAUUCCCUAAUGUCAAUAUAAACUCAAAACCCUUUAAUAAUAUUAAGCAACUCCAUAUACUUAUGGAAGCUAUUAUGCUAGAACUAGUAACAAGAAAUUGAAUUUCUCCAAAAUGUAAGCUUAAGCCACAAUUGACACCCUAUCGGCAAUUAACGUUCAUGAAACAACUGUAGUAACAACACCAAGAAAACCCUACUCUCCUAAACGUUAACCUUACACCAGAACAUUUAUGGAAAGAUUAAAAGGGAAAGAAGGAACUCGGCAAAUUUUGACCCCGCCUGUUUACCAAAAACACCGCCUCUUGCUUCAACAUAAGAGGUCUAGCCCUGCCCAGUGAUACUAUUUAACGGCCGCGGUACCCUAACCGUGCGAAGGUAGCAUAAUCACUUGUUCUUUAAAUGGGGACUCGUAUCAACGGCAUCACGAGGGUUGUACUGUCUCCUUUCCCCAAUCAGUGAAACUGAUCUCUCCGUGAAGAAGCGGAGAUAAAACUAUAAGACGAGAAGACCCCAUGGAGCUUUAAACCCAGCAACUACCUCUGUUUAAACACACCCGCAUAAGCAACAGAACCCUAUUUGUCUGGUUUUAGGUUGGGGUGACCGCGGAGUAUAACAUAGCCUCCACGAUGAAUGGGCUAACCCCCUAAUCCAAGAGUCACACCUCUAAGAAUUAGCAAUCUAACAUAAACUGAUCCGACUAUCGAUCAACGAACCAAGUUACCCUGGGGAUAACAGCGCAAUCCACUUUAAGAGCUCCUAUCGACAAGUGGGUUUACGACCUCGAUGUUGGAUCAGGGUAUCCUAGUGGUGCAGCAGCUACUGACGGUUCGUUUGUUCAACGAUUAAAACCCUACGUGAUCUGAGUUCAGACCGGAGUAAUCCAGGUCGGUUUCUAUCUAUAAAGAGUUUCUCCUAGUACGAAAGGAUCGGAAAAACAUGGCCAAUACACAAACAAGCCAUCGUCUAACACCAAUGAACCCAACUUAAUUGGCUAAGACCUAACAAUCAACCCCAAAACAGGGUUU